AUUAAAAGUGAGGUUGUUGAUACGUAUUCUCCUCAAAGAACUUGGGUAACCCAAACACCCCAUCCAAUCAAUAAAAUAUUGCAUUCAUCACCACCUAUGCGUAUACUUCCCUCCUCUCCUCCGCCGGUUCCCUGCCCUAUCCAUACACAUCACAACUUCCUUUCUACGAUGGUAAAUCGGUGAUCACUCAAUUCAAGAUUUUUUAAUGUCGGUUUUAUGUAGUGAAUUUGAAUCGGUGCUCUAUCUAAUACGUUCCUUCUAGGAUUGAAUUGCAGAUUCAUGGUAACUAAUUUUUGGUUGAAUUUGAUUAACUAGCAGUGGAACAAUUGGGGUGAUAUCUGUUGAUGCUGGCAUAAUAUGGAUAGUUGUUAACUGAGGCUUGAUUGGGUUAAAAAACUGUAGCUUUUGAUGUGGCGUUGUUUGUGUUGGUGGUCUUCAUUUACGGAAAAAAACCAGUUUGGCAUCACAAGGGGAUUGGAGAUAUCUGCAAAGAAGUUAAUGACAGUCGUAGUUGUAGCAUAAUGGAGAAACUCAAAACGGAGAAUAGGAUGCCUUAAAGGUAAAUAAAAGAGAGAAGAUAGCUGUCUGCGGGAAACAAUAAGGAAGCAGCCUGGUAUUGUGCACUUCAAAGCUGGCCAACUGGUGGAAUUGAAAACGUUCCAGAAAGGAUAUCGUGGUACCUGGUUCCAAUUCAAGAGUAUAAAAUCAACGAGUUUUGGGUUUUGAACGAUAGUCCUUACAUGCUUGAGUUUGAUGGGUUGACAUCUGCAAGAAAGGUCGUCGGUGAUGUGCUUGCCUACGAGGGUUUGAUGGGUGGGCAUUGGCUAAGGGUGUUUUGUUGGCAUAGACAAUGACCCUCCAACGGAAGCUAUGCUUGCUGGUUUGCUCCCAGUAAUGGCGCCGACCGGGACACUGGGUUCAGCCUAAACUACUUGAAAGCAAUUAAACCCCUCAUACCCUCCAGUUUGAUGGUAUGACCUAUCCAUAUUAUGCCUUCACCGACGAGCUUUCUUGCAGAUGUCGACCCAUCAAACUCAAGCAUGUAAGGUCAUUGGAGGGUCAUUGUCUAUGGCAACAAGUCGUUGGUGAUGUGCCUGCCUACGAGGGUUCUUGCAGAUGUCGACCCAUCAAACCAGCAAGCAUAGCUUCCGUUGGAGGGUCAUUGUCUAUGCCAACAAAAGAACCUUAACCGAUACCCACACCAUCAAAGCAGCGAGAACCAACCAAAAGGAAAUUAUCCUUAAAGAACAAACCACUAAAGAUCUGGUCAUAGCUAACUCGGGCGGGGACCUGGAGGCUGACCAAAGCAAAGGGAAAAAAAGUGUUGUUGCUAAUGCUGCCUUGGAAGUGGCUAAUGCCGACAGUGAAGCUGUCUGUGUUGCCUUAGAUGAUGAUGUGGAAGGUGAAGACACAGGGGUGUCCCGAUCUUCCAAAAAACGAAGGUAUAUGAGACAAAAAUUGUUCUACAAACUACCAAUAUGUUAGCCGCUUAAUAUGUAAUGCAUGACUUGGUUGAACCUGGGUCCGACACAGAAGAUUUGGUUGAACCAGCAGCUUGAAUCAGUUAAAUAGAGUCAGGGCAUGAGGGCUGAAGGGUGAAGUUGUUUUAGAAUGUUAUGACCCAGCCUUUUAUAUGUCUACGCUUUCGUUAAGGCAGAUAUUUAUAUUUCAGUUUUCUUCGAAUAAUUAGGAAGUUGUGUCACUGCCAUAUGUGGCAUCGAAAUAUGUUUUAUUAUGUUUUUGCUGAAUUGUUUUUCCUAAUGUUACCGUAUGUUGUGGUUGCCCUUUAUAGCACGCCAAACUUCAGUUUCGUUUUAUAGCUAUGUUUUUUCCCGAACUUCUACUCUAAUAAAUAUGGCUUUGUUACAAA